CCUUAACAAGUAACAAUUAGAGGGCAAGUCUGGUGCCAGCAGCCGCGGUAAUUCCAGCUCUAAUAGCGUAUAUUAAUAUUGUUGCAGUUAAAAAGCUCGUAGUUGAAAUUUGGAACUUUAUUGUAUUGGUUUGUCUUUUGAUGAACUGUAUAAUGGGUUUCUUCCUACUAGAGUUCGAUUCUGUUCUUAACUGAAUGGAGUAGCUAUCUUUCGGGGUGGUCAAUUGGUUGUUAUAUCUCCACUAAUAAGCAGAGAGGGGUUAAACCUUCAAAGUAAGUUAUGUGGAUCAAGGUAUGGUGAUUAAUUGGAGUUCUAGUUCAUUUACUUUGAGAAAAUUAGAGUGUUUAAAGCAGCCUCUUGGGGCACUGAAUACAUUAGCAUGGGAUAAUAAAAUAGGAUCUUCACAAUAUAUUUUAUUGGUUUAAAUUGCGUAUGAAGAUAAUGAUUAAUA
rnacentral:rRNA from 1 species